AGUGAACGCUGGCGGUAGGCCUAACACAUGCAAGUCGAACGGCAGCACAGGAGAGCUUGCUCUCUGGGUGGCGAGUGGCAGACGGGUGAGGAAUACAUCGGAAUCUACUCUGUCGUGGGGGAUAACGUAGGGAAACUUACGCUAAUACUGCAUACGACCUACGAGCGAAAGCAGGGGACCUUCGGGCCUUGCGCGAUUGAAUGAGCCGAUGUCGGAUUAGCUAGUUGGCGGGGUAAAGGCCCACCAAGGCGACGAUCCGUAGCUGGUCUGAGAGGAUGAUCAGCCACACUGGUACUGAGACACGGUCCAGACUCCUACGGGAGGCAGCAGUGGGGAAUAUUGGACAAUGGGCGCAAGCCUGAUCCAGCCAUACCGCGUGGGUGAAGAAGGCCUUCGGGUUGUAAAGCCCUUUUGUUGGGAAAGAAAUCCAGCUGGCUAAUACCCGGUUGGGAUGACGGUACCCAAAGAAUAAGCACCGGCUAACUUCGUGCCAGCCGCCGCCGUAA
rnacentral:rRNA from 1 species